GGCUGCUCCAAGUGCAAUGGUGUUUACAACUAAUUGGUCACAAUCAGUUGCAGGUUUGUUUCUUCUCCACUCCCACUGCUUCCCUUGACAGCCUAAA
rnacentral:Y_RNA from 1 species